GACGAACGCUGGCGGCGCGCUUAACACAUGCAAGUCGAACGGAAAGGCCUGCUUUCCCUUGUGGAUUGCGGGUACUCGAGUGGCGAACGGGUGAGUAACACGUGAGUGAUCUGCCCCCAACUUGGGUAUAAGCCUGGGAAACUGGGUCUAAUUCCCGAUAGGACUGCAGGGUGGUGCCUGUGGUGGAAAACGAUUUUCUAGUGGUUGGGGAUGAGCUCGCGGCCUAUCAGCUUGUUGGUGGGGUAAUGGCCUACCAAGGCGGCGACGGGUAGCCGGCCUGAGAGGGUGGACGGCGACAUUGGGACUGAGAUGCGGCCCAGAAUCCUACGGGAGGCAGCAGUGGGGAAUAGUGCACAAUGGGCGGAAGCCUGAAGCAGCGACGCCGCGUGGGGGAUGACGGCCUUCGGGUUGUAAACUCCUUUCGACCGCGAGGAAGCCACCUGGUUGGAAGGGUGGUGACGGUAGUGGUAGAAGAAGCACCGGCUAACUACGUG
rnacentral:rRNA from 1 species